CAGCAGCCGCGGGAAUACGAAGGGUGCAAGCGUUACUCGGAAUUACUGGGCGUAAAGCGUGUGUAGGUGGUUGUUUAAGUCUGUCGUGAAAGCCCUGGGCUCAACCUGGGAAUUGCAGUGGAUACUGGGUCACUAGAGUGUGGUAGAGGAUAGUGGAAUUUCCGGUGUAGCAGUGAAAUGCGUAGAGAUCGGAAGGAACAUCUGUGGCGAAGGCGACUAUCUGGGCCAACACUGACACUGAGGCACGAAAGCGUGGGGAGCAAACAGGAUUAGAUACCCGCGUAGUCCCUGUCUCUUAUAC
rnacentral:rRNA from 1 species